GUCUUAAUUGGGCGUUAAGUUGCAGGGUAUAGACCCGAAACCCGGUGAUCUAGCCAUGGGCAGGUUGAAGGUUGGGUAACACUAACUGGAGGACCGAACCGACUAAUGUUGAAAAAUUAGCGGAUGACCUGUGGCUGGGGGUGAAAGGCCAAUCAAACCGGGAGAUAGCUGGUUCUCCCCGAAAGCUAUUUAGGUAGCGCCUCGUGAAUUCAUCUCCGGGGGUAGAGCACUGUUUCGGCUAGGGGGCCAUCCCGGCUUACCAACCCGAUGCAAACUGCGAAUACCGGAGAAUGUUAUCACGGGAGACACACGGCGGGUGCUAACGUCCGUCGUGAAGAGGGAAACAACCCAGACCGCCAGCUAAGGUCCCAAAGUCAUGGUUAAGUGGGAAACGAUGUGGGAAGGCCCAGACAGCCAGGAUGUUGGCUUAGAAGCAGCCAUCAUUUAAAGAAAGCGUAAUAGCUCACUGGUCGAGUCGGCCUGCGCGGAAGAUGUAACGGGGCUAAACCAUGCACCGAAGCUGCGGCAGCGAACGUAUCACUUAAAGCGAUUCAGCGGGUUACGAUUGACGGAGCGAAGCGACGUCAAAGCGUAUACAAAGUCGAGUCGGUUUAAGGAUACGUUCGUUGGGUAGGGGAGCGUUCUGUAAGCCUGUGAAGGUGGCCUGUGAGGGUUGCUGGAGGUAUCAGAAGUGCGAAUGCUGACAUAAGUAACGAUAAAGCGGGUGAAAAGCCCGCUCGCCGGAAGACCAAGGGUUCCUGUCCAACGUUAAUCGGGGCAGGGUGAGUCGACCCCUAAGGCGAGGCCGA
rnacentral:rRNA from 1 species